rnacentral:rRNA from 1 species
UGAGUAACCUGCCCUUCACUCUGGGAUAACUCCGGGAAACCGGGGCUAAUACUGGAUACGACCUACUCGGGCAUCCGAUGUGGGUGGAAAGAUUUAUCGGUGAGGGAUGGACUCGCGGCCUAUCAGCUUGUUGGUGAGGUAAUGGCUCACCAAGGCGACGACGGGUAGCCGGCCUGAGAGGGCAUCGGCCACACUGGGACUGAGACACGGCCCAGACUCCGUACGGGAGGCA